rnacentral:lncRNA from 1 species
UGCUGGAGCAGGCACAAGCAAUGACUGCGCACAUCCUGGUGGGCCCCGGUGUGAGGAGUAAAUGCUGAACUGCAGAGCCCUCGCAAAACUGUGGCAUGUCAGGGUGUGCGGAGGAGCCAAGGUUUAGGUACCAAAGAAACUUCAAGGUAAUAACUGGAACGUAGGCUGAAAUGAGGCACCUUCAAUUAGAGAGCAACGGGGAGAUGGUUUUCAACACUGCACCGCAGUGUUCGAAGUAUGUAUGAUACACGCUCAGCUCCCACUAAACUCUUGUGUUUGGUUAUCAGCUUUAUCCACUAGACCUAUGCACGUAAAAAGGCUGGAGUUUAGCCCUAUGUGACCAAGAAUGACUACUGGGGAUAUUUUAUUCAUCAGAUACAUGAGCCAAAGAUCUUAUUUUAUGUUUAUAACCAUUUCAGAAUCUGAAGGAACAACUGUGAAAAGCCUGUGCAGACACCAUCUGAAAUCCUGUCCCUGUCAAGACACAAAAUGACCUCAGCAAAGAAGAAGCCAAAACAAUUCCUUGAUUUUGGGAGAAAAAUGAUUCAGCCCCCAUCUCUUUUCCACCCACAACCUCCUUCUGGGGACCGUGACUUUGUCUUAUGCUUCAGCAGGAAACAUUUUUGGCUGAGCUGAAACUCUCUAGAGUGUGUUGGAUCUUACAGAGGUGCAAAGACCAGAAUCCAUGUCAUUUCUCAUGCUGAGUUAACACAUGACAUCGCUGACUUCUCUAAGGCAAUAUUUCAUCCUGUCAUCCUGAAUAGUAUCUGUUACUUGUGGUGCUUAAAGGUAAUGGUAAAUUCACUGAACGGCAAUUCUCUGGAAAAUGGACAUUACAAUAGAAGAAUUAAAAUUAAACAGCAAAGUUGUUGACAGAAUAAACUGAGAGAGCUGGAUAUACAGCUGUUUAGGCUUCCCAGAAGGAAUCAAGAUUGACCGAAUAUGAAACUAAACUAUGCGAAUCUGGCAAAAUAGUUUGGCUGCUGCUGGCGUACUUCACAUGCGUAAGGCUGGACGUAUGUACAGAAACGAGUUACUCAGAGGAACAAAGGAAGGGGGAACACAGCCUGCCGGGUCCGCUGGGUUGACUGCCUUCACCACUGCCCUAAUUCUGCCGCAGGAGGAACCUCACAGGGAGAGAAGAGGAGAGGAGGCCACCUUAGCUCCUAUUUAGCACAUUUAGUGGAGGGUAAGAGCACACGCAUGGGCAGUUACCACAUUAC